UUUUCUGCGUUGUCACUUCCCAGCUAAUUUUAGAACCCCUUUUGAGAAGAUGGGAAAAAGAAAAAAGACGAGGAGUAUCGAAUUUAUCAGCAGGACAUAAGAAUAUAAAUAGAGCACUUUUUUUUUCUCACGUUUUGGAUGUGUCAACAGACGUAAGCAACGUCAUUGCAAGGUUUUGACUAUGAAAGGGACAACAAGAGGGGAGGAUUUAUUCAAGUCCUUCACUGAGUUCGCUAAAGAAAAAAAUCUACUGAUGGAUAAACUUAUUUCGAGAACAUGAAAAGAGACCCAUCCCAAGUUUCUCAACGCCUGCAUUAAGCUUAAGCCCACCAACUAUCAACCAGACUACAAAGCCAUCAGCUAAACAAUUCAGCACCAGAAGUCGCAAUACCGGAUGUUGUAUGCAUGUGUGUUUGAUGCUGUUACACCCACCAUGUCUGGCCAUGGCUGGCCGCAGGCCCCUGCAACCAGUUCCCAUGGUUCCAUGAUUCCACUAUAUUGACUACCUCAGGGGACACCUCCCACUCACUGGUUUGUUUUCAUCCUUAAUGGUAGAUCAUAUUACAUUCUUUAUUGUGUAUGUGCAUGUGACAUAAACAGUUUGUGAGUAUGUGUUUUUGUGUUAUUGUGCAUGCACCUGCUCAGACAAUGGCAAAGUAUUGUUCGAAGGUUGUGCAUGCAUGUGUGGGCGAGUGGGCGUGCAUGUGUCAUUGUGCUCUUAUUGUGGUUUUAGUUUGAGGAUUGUAUAAUUGCAAUGCAUCGUAUUGAAAUGUGUUUGGAUGUUUUUGUAUCUUUAUCUAGCUGCAUGAAAGGAAUGAGACCAAUGUAUAAUGAUGGGGAAACAUUCACACAGUGGCACUCACAUUUAUUCGACCCACAUUGUCAAUUAAAAUCACGGAAUCAGGUGGUCAAUUAUAAUCAAGACAAUUAAUUGGAACUGAAGGAUUUCUGACAUCAUCCCAAUGAUCUCUCACAGCACACAAGUGUGUCACAGUACACUAAUUGCUAAUAUUUGGUGUAAUAUUUUUGAAUGCGGCACCUUUUAAAACUCAUUUUCCUUUUCUUUCUUUUUUGUGUGUGUUUUUUACGUAACCAAUAACCUUUGGCUUUUACUUUGAAAAUGAAUUGUUUAAUGUCAUCAUAUUGGGUAAAUGGCUCUUUAGUUAUUUUUCAAAAUGAACUACUAUCUUUAUAUGACAUAAUAAAAUUUGAUCAG